GAUUGGCUCUCAGUCGGAGGGAGAAGUUCCGUUCCUCCGGCAUGCGUUCAGGUGUGUGCCGGACAGCAGUUAGCGGACGGGGAACAGGUGGGCUGUGAGCAGAUAUAGGCCUACUCAGCGUCUAUGAUGAAUAGUCUAAAGCAGUGGUAGUUUUCCUCAAAAAGGAAAACUUAGUUGUUAGGAUUAUCGAGUGGCAUCUGGGUGAAAGUACUUUUUGUGCCAAUAACCCGAAGCGCCGGCAAAGUAGUUGUUUCUAACGUGCCACCCUUUAUAAAGAACGAAGUAAUUGAAAGGGAAUUGGCAAGGUUCGGGAGAUUCGGCAGCUCAUUAAAAUCGUUCCGUAAAUGUGGCUGUAAAUGUGGUGCGGUGAAGUCUGUGUUAUCUUUUAGAAAGCAGGUUUUUUUUAAUAUAACGGUGAACAGACGUUUUAUGUGGUGUUUGCAUAAACUGGCAGUUUGCGCUGCAUCGCGUGUGCGGACAUUGGCCACAAAAAGUGGGGUGCCCGGACAAAACCCAGUCACCGGAAGAGGAUAAUGGCGGAGAUAGGCAAGAAGCGAUAGCCUAUUGCUGCUGAGAAGGGAAAUCAGGAAGGCGGUUAAUAGCGAUGGCGAACAGGCGGCGGGGAAUGUGUCAGCACAGAUGAUUAAGGAGCCUGGGGAAGAGGACGCUCCAGGAACGGAGUAGCGUCGUCUGGCCAUGAAACACAGAAGGAUCUCCACCUGGCCCCGUUCUCUACUAGUGUCACGAUUGUGUAUCAUAAACUGCCCCCAGCAGUGUGGACCCCUCCCCUGCCCACCUGUUCUCCAGCUCAGAGACAUCUGUCUGCAGCUUGAGGUAGAACUUCUCGGCCUGGGAGAAGAGCUGACGCAGCAGCAGCACGUUGGUGUGGGCCGUGUUAAUGAGCUCCGUCUCCACCUCCCCCCGAACCACCACCUGUAGGCCCUCCAGCAUCUCUGUCACUUCAUCCACCGUGAAUGUCUCCUCCACCAGUCUGCAGCGAAGGACAACACCGUGCUCAGCACAGCGCUAGGGAAAGGGCUAAUGGCUGCGACAGCAAUGGGAGUCCUAAGCCAAGACUCACCAACAUAAGGCAAACCAUAGAAGGCCUACUCCAGGAAUUACAUUGAUUUUAUUAUAUAUGUGCCUGUAUUUUAUGAUACACUAAGUCAGCUCACAAACCAUAGUGAUGCAUAAACGUAAUAGCAGUAUUAUUCUAGAGUAAUGUAAAAAAAAAAAAUGCGUGGUAACAUGAGUAAUAAUGUAACUCUAAAACUACACCACAAAUACAACCUCUCACAAAUUGCCAGUGAAAAAGCACACCUGCUGUCCUUGAGGUCCUGGAAACAGGAGUCGAUGGUCUUGAGUCUCAGAACUCUCUUGGAGCGAGCAAAGCGCAUGUAGUUGAUCACCUCGUUCUGGUGGUGCUCGUUGAAGCCAAACUCAGCCUGAGGCGACCAACGAUAUAGGACAAGGCAAUUUCUUUACUUGAGCCUGGAUAGUACGUGUGAUUAUGAGGCAGUGGUCGUUAUUUAAAGUGUGCACAAAUGUGUCAGCAGAGGGCGGUGUUUUUAAUCAUUUCAGUUAUACACGUGAGAUACCUUAUUAUCUCAGAGCAAUCCAUCUGUUACAUUGUUUACCGCGUCCAACACUGGGAAAAAAUGUGGGCUACGUGCAAAAAUAAAUUGUGCUGACUAUUAACGUUUUACAUUUGUCAA